rnacentral:lncRNA from 1 species
AGACUCAAAUUUUCUUCAACAUUCAGUUAACUGUGAACAAUUUCUAAGUUCAGAAUCACCACUUAUCAGUUUUGAUUCACAAAAUAGCAUUCAAAGUUGAAAUUGAUUAUCAUUUUUUUUAUUCGAAGCUUGCAUCGAUAACGAGCAAUAUAUUGUUCUUCAGGUUUAUCGAUAUUGUGGAUAUGGAGUUUCAUCAGAUCAAUGGACUUUGUGGUGGUUUUGUCGGAGAUGAAGGUCGUGGGUUAGUAGUUAAUGGGAUCUGAUGGAAUAGGAUUUCUCUGAUGGGUGAGUGAGCUGGAAAAAAAGGGCGAUUAAUUAUUUGAUCUGAAGAAGAAGAUGCCAAGAGGAAGAGAAAUUGCUAUAUUUUUGGUAAACCAAAUGAUAGCUACUUUUUGGGUGAAAUAAAUGAUCACCUUGUGUAAUUAUUCCUUAUCUAAUUGUUCAUCCAAUUGCAUUUAAUGACUUUAGCCUACCA